GAUGAACGCUGACAGAAUGCUUAACACAUGCAAGUCAACUUGAACUUCGGUUUGGGUGGCGGACGGGUGAGUGACGCGUACAGAACUUGCCUCACAGCUAGGGACAACAUUUGGAAACGAAUGCUAAUACCUGAUAUUAUGAUUAUAUGGCAUCGUAUAAUUAUGAAAGCUAUCUGCGCUGUGAGAGAGCUUUGCGUCCCAUUAGCUAGUUGGAGAGGUAACAGCUCACCAAGGCGAUGAUGGGUAGCCGGCCUGAGAGGGUGAUCGGCCACAAGGGGACUGGGACACGGCCCUUACUCCUACGGGAGGCAGCAGUGGAGAAUAUUGGACAAUGGACCGAGAGUGUGAUCCAGCAAUUCUGCGUGCACGAUGAAGUUUUUCGGAAUGUAAAGUGCUUUCAGUUGGGAAGAAAAAAAUGACGGUACCAACAGAAGAAGUGACGGCUAAAUACGUG
rnacentral:rRNA from 1 species